UCUUUUCCUUUUUUUCCAGCCGCCGCGGUAAUACGUAGGGGGCAAGCGUUAUCCGGAUUUACUGGGUGUAAAGGGAGCGUAGACGGCAUGGCAAGCCAGAUGUGAAAGCCCGGGGCUCAACCCCGGGACUGCAUUUGGAACUGUCAGGCUAGAGUGUCGGAGAGGAAAGCGGAAUUCCUAGUGUAGCGGUGAAAUGCGUAGAUAUUAGGAGGAACACCAGUGGCGAAGGCGGCUUUCUGGACGAUGACUGACGUUGAGGCUCGAAAGCGUGGGGAGCAAACAGG
rnacentral:rRNA from 1 species